CACCAGAGUUAGGCAAGCAGAAAAGAUGAAAUGGGAAGAGGAGGAAGCAAAUAUUUACCAACACCUACUCUUCAAGCAGCGAGCGCCUAUAAAUUUCUGCACCUGAAGCUUUGUGACCUGACCCUGAUAGUUUGCCCAUAUUUUAACUGGUUUGACUCAGACAUCGUCGUUCCCUUAAGCUCAUCCGUGUCGGCACAGUGAACCUCGUGUCUACAAUGACCAUGUGACCGUCCUCUUAACAUAAUGCACUGGACUCCUCUGGUGGAGGCUGCCCCAGUCUCUGAAGUCUGGACUUAUCUGCCUGUUACUGCUGCUCUCAGCCCUAGAGAGAGACUGGAAUGAAAGCAUCUUCUUACUGUCUUCUGUGACCUAACCUAAGUCUCCCCAUCUUCAGACUGUCAAAUCCUGCAUCAAGGAGGACUGGGGGAGCACUGAUGGCUGGUAUCCACUUCUGGUUCCAAUAGAGGGUGUGGGGUUUGUAUUUCUGGCAAUCUUUCCGGCAACACUGAUGCGGCCACCCUCCUUCAUCAGCAUGACAGGAAGAUUUGCUGGUUCCCCAAGCUCAACACCCUCUGGGGAAGUUUCUGUUUCAUUAGAUGCAACGGGCCAAAUUGGCUUGUCCCCAAAGAAGCCAUGGGAAAGUUUGUUGAUCUGAGCUAUACUACUUCCAUUAGGCAUCAUUGCAGGGGGGUGGGGGUGGAGGGGCUCAAGCAGCAUAGACCAACAGUGAUCUUCAGUGGUACUGCCAGGCUUGGAGUCUAGCCUUCCAUCCUGAGGGCAAUGGGAAGGGAUACAGCCAUGAAACUCACACUUGCCCUGGUCUCUAGCACAGCAGGUGUGAACUGCCCUGGAACAAGUUUUGAUGCCCUUGGAAGCAUCAGGAUAGUGCCUGUACAUUAAAACUAAAUGAACAUCACCCAUCU
rnacentral:lncRNA from 1 species